GUUUGGAUAGGUUGGUCACCCAGAGCAGGGCUAUCAGGGGAUGUAACAUUUGUGGGGGUUUAUGUAUUUUUAAGGUACUUUUGGGGUGUUUCGGAAAUGUGUUUUUUGUGCCUGGAGAUAAUUGAGUUUAAUAUAGUGCUUGACUCAAUGAUCUCCCAGGCACAGGGAAGGGAUUGUCUUGUUUUGUACAGGAGUGUCCUGUACCUGAG